UGAUUAAGUGGAUUGCAGAUGGACUGAGUAAGGUGGUACCCCAGCCAGAUGAAAAGUACAGAGAGGAUAUUCGAGAGGAGGAGGAUGAAACAGAGGUUUAUAACAUGAAAGAUGUGCCUGACGCAGAGCCCCUCCCACAUAUACCUGUGGUGGAGAUGUUUUCAGAAAAUGAGGAAGAGGAUCAGAUACCACAGUUCCCCCCCAA